CCGGACUGUAUGGGCUGCGUUCAACAACAAAAGGAAAGAGUGGAGCGGCCAAACUCUAUUCAGAGAAGGAGGAGAAUGGGUCUGCUCUGCAUGGACGAGCAGCUGACAACCAAUCAAAUAAGAAAGAGGACUGAUGCCCCUUGAUUAUGUAGAAGCCCAGAACUAUUGCCAGGUACCGGGAUGGAGAUGGAGAGCGGGAGCAGAUCUGGAACUAGCCUGUGAAUGUAUGCCUUUCCUGACGUCUCCCCUGGAAUGAAUUGCUCGACGAGCAGGUGCCAAGCCGUUGCUAUGUUCACCAUACACUCUGAUCAAAAGCCUCAUGGACGUUCUUUUGACUUAAGCUUGUUGAAAAGGGGACGCCCCUCGUCGCCUCUGCUGUUUGUUUGAGAGUGUAUGAAGGAGAAGAAAAGAGCGAACAUUUUGAAAACAA